ACACACACACAUACAUAUAUAUAUAUAUAUAUAUAUAUAUAUAUAUAUAUAUAUAUAUAUAUAUAUAGAGAGAGAGAGAGAGAGAGACAGACAGACAGACAGACAGACAGACAGACAGACAUAGAUAGAUAGAUAGAUAGAUAGAUAGACGGACGGACGGACGGACGGACGGACGGACAGAUAGAUAGAUAGAUAGAUAGAUAGAUAGAUAGAUAGAUAGAUAGAUAGAUAGAUAGAUAGAUAGAUAGAUAGAUAGAUAGAUAGAUAGAUAGAUAGAUAUGAUAUGAUAUGAUAUAGAAGUGACGAUCUCAGCUAAAAUGCCGACAAUUUAAAAAUUACUCAACACUUCAUUAUAUAAUUUUCACGAUUAAAAAACGACCAACUUCAGAAACAUUUUAACUGAAAACAAACAGUAAACAUCGUAAUAUAUUAUUUUUACUAUUUUCACUGUUCACUUAAUGUUACUGUUCAUCAUGUUUGUAUGUGUGUUCGACCUAUAUUGUGUGUCUGUAUGUAUGUAUGUAUGUUCACUAUUUUCUCUUUGGUUUAAAGUAAAUGUUGACCCUCCACCUUCCUGGUAGCAAGGUUGUAUAGGAGAGUUUAUUGAUUUAACCGGCAACCUUUAAACCUUAAGGCCUAGCAGUUUUUUUAUAGUCCCUCAUAUCGUGAUCAUUUGUAGCGUUUAAAUUAAGGAUUUGCGUUCUCUCCCCGAGAUCUCAAGUCCAAACAUACUUUGCACCGGACGGGUCGGUAUGUAUGUACACUAUUGCUCCAAAGGCGGCGACCUGGCAGAAUCGUUAGUACGCCGGGCGAAAUGCUUAGGGGUAUUUCGUCUGCCGUUACGUUCUGAGUUCAAAUUCCGCAGAGGUUGACUUUGCCUUUCAUCCGUUUCGGGGUCGAUAAAUUAAGUACCAGUUACGCAUUGGGGUCGAUAUAAUCGACUUAAUCCGUUUGUCUGUCCUUGUUUGUCCCCUCUGUGUUUAGCCCCUUGUGGGUAAUAAAGAAAUAGGUAUUUCGUCUGCCGUUACGUUCUGGGUUCAAAUUCCGCCGAGGUCGAUUUUGCCUUUCAUCCUUUCGGGGUCAAUAAAUUAAGUACCAGUUACGCACUGGAGUCGAUGUAAUCGACUUAAUACCUAUGUCUCUCCUUGUUUGUUCUUUCUGUGUUUAGCCCCUUGUGGUAGUAAAGAAAUAGGUUUUUCGUCUGCUGCUACGUUCUGAGUUCAAAUUCCGCUGAGGUCGACUUUGCCUUUCAUCCUUUCGGGGUCGAUUAAAUAAGUACCAGUUACGCACUGGGGUCGAUGUAAUCGACUUAAUCCGUUUGUCUGUCCUUGUUUGUCCCCUCUGUGUUUAGCCCCUUGUGGGUAGUUAAAAAUAAAAUAAUAAUAGGUCUGAAACUGAAAGCAUAUAUCUUAGGUACUGGAUUUGCAAACCUCUUAUCAAAGGUCCAAGGGUGUCCCUUUAGUCUUGUCUUUUUCGAACCACAUUCUUGUCCAGGGGACAGCUGAUUUCCACAACAGAACACAUCAUUUCUUUGUGGCCCCAGAAAACAAUAUCUGGAAAAUUGUGUUUUAACUUGGUGGCCGCUUUAAUUUUUAAGUUCCACCGAAAUAUUUUGACUCAUUGGUCUCAGACUAGUCAACUUUCGCUAUAGGUCUUUUCAUUGUAUGUCCAUUAUUCAGUUUAUUUCAAGACUUCUGGCUAACAGAGAAAGAACCGGCUUCUAACCUUGAUCCAAGGUUCCUUGGAUUUCAACAUCAACAACAGGGUAUUUUUUGUAUGUAUGUAUGUAUGUAUGUAUGUAUGUAUGUAUGUAUGUAUUUAUGUAGGUAUGUAUGUAUGUAUGUGUAUAUAUGUAUGUAUAUAUGUGCAUAUUUGUGUGUUUUAUGUAUGUAUUCUCAUGCAUAUAAUUGUAUAUCUAGACAUGCUCAUAUAUAUUUAAAUGACAAACUUCUGGAAAGUUUUACAGAUUUUUACAGUUCCAGUAACGGAUUGGAUCUGUAGUCUUCGAAUAAGCUUGCUCCUUUCUGGUUUUGAGAAGCCUAAUUUCUCAAAAUUGGUAUGUAUGUAAUAAUGUAUGUUUGUAUGUAUGUAUGUAUGUAUGUAUGUAUGUAUGUAUGUAUGUAUGUAUGUAUGUAUGUAUGUGUGUAUGUAUGUAUGUAUGUAUGUAUGUAUGUAUGUAUGUAUGUAUGUAUGUAUGUAUGUAUGUAUGAAUGUAUGUAUGUAUGUAUGUAUGUAUGUAUGUAUGUAUGUAUGUAUGCAUGCAUGUAUGCAUGUAUGUAUGUUUGUAUGUAUGUAUGUAUGUAUGUAUACAUGCUUAUGUGGGUGAUGCAUAUAUUUUUGCUUUUGACGACGAAUUAUACAUAACUGAAUAUUAAACUGAAGAAUUACUCAUCAUUACAUGCGUUCAGAAGAAGUGGAUGAAUAGUGACUUCGAAGUUAACGUUUGUUAACCGUCGUCGGACGGUCCUACGUUGAUUAACUGGCCGAACUUUUCGAAGCC
rnacentral:lncRNA from 1 species